CCCAAAUACUUUGGGAUGGAAGCACAAGAUUACCAGUUUUCUUCUCCAUGAAUUUCAAACUUGUUGGAGGUGGAAGAAUAGGAGGCUGCCUGAUCGUGGAUUUCACUUAUUUGAGACCUGCAUCAUUUCAUGAUGCAGAGACAGGUUUAAGAGAUCGUCAAUAGGAGCAUCAUUGGGGAUCCAUUCACACUCAGCGUAUUGGUGAGUCCUCCCCUACAUUCGGAGGAUACUGUCUGUGUAUUCUUGCAUUGAGUUAGCCCUUUUCAUUUUGAUUUGAGGUAGCCAUGAACAUGUCAUUGGCACCAAUUAAAUAGUAGUGAUAGAGGCUUCAUAGACUAGAUAGUGAUGAGUCGAUUUAGUUAUUCUUGUCAAACUAUUAAUUUUUUAAAAUGACAAAUAUUUUAGUUGA